GUUGCGAUUUGUUCACGUAUUUAUGUAACGUUUUGGUGAAAAUUCCAACGAAAUUUUAUCACCCUUCAUCGUUUCUAACGUUUGAGAUACGACGAUUUAGUGUAUUAGAGAAUAUCACGUGUAAUAAUGAUGUCAAUGGAUGUCAUUAAUUUCAAGGAUAAUAAUGAGAAGCUCGAUGUUAGUUAGAAGAUUGCUGGAAUCCGGAGUGGACUUUUCCUUCAUCACGAGACGGACGAACUUUAAUAUGUUUAUAAAAUUCACAUUUAUAGAUCGAAAAGGUUAUUUAAAGAUUCGACCAAAUAUCGACUCAAGGAAGGAGUGUAGGACUGGAAACUAUGUAAAAAGUUCGACAGGUUGGCCGGUAGAAAACCGCAGCGAUCGGUGUUAGUCGGGUUUCCAAGAGUUGCUACGGUCGAAUUUGGAAAGAGGACUACGAUGAAAAUGGAACGCAACUUUACAACAUGGACAGACACGUACAGGCGUGACAGGGUGCUGCCCUCUGCGGGCUAAAAUUAGAGGGUGCUGUCCGAAGUUCUCCGCUACACGUUUGCAUUUCCUAUGCACUAUUUCCCACGUGUGGGUGCGUACAGUCCAGUACGAAAGCUGGAUACCUCACCGCAAACGAGAUACACACGUUGCGGAUUCACGGACUCGCUGAUGCAAUAUUUCUAUCAGUUUACCGUGCCGGAAUAUGAAACAAAAAAAAAAGGAAGACUGGACCGCGUGGUUGAGUGGCGAGAGAGUGAGAGAAAGAGAAAAAACGAUAGGGUGGGUAAGAGAUGGCUGAUAGAGAGGGAGGAAAAAAUGCUUUCGGCUUUCUACGCUCGCCCAAAUAUUUUCGUUUUGUUCUACGCGCUCCUGGCGCUUUUCAAAAUCGAUCUUCCAUUAUCGUCCGAUUCUCCUCUAUAGGUCCGCUGUAACCGAAAUUGAAAGUUUACGCGGUACAUCCCCCUCUCCACGUUUAUUUAUCGUAUAUGAACUCAUUUUGUAGUCUAUCACUAUUUUCGUCUUAGUAUUUACUUAUCUACUUAGAUUAGAUCGAUGACGUGCAAGAUGUAUUUAUUUGCACAUACGAAACAUUUAUAUCAACGAGCAUCGUCAAUUAUGAGAAGAAAUAUCAAAGAAGGAAAGAUUAAUUGAUCGAUUCAAAAUGAUCUUUGGAAGGAACAGAACUAAAUAUAUCGUUCAAUGUUUUCCAACUCCGAAGACGUGUCGCGGUCAGCCUAUUGAGAAAUUUUUACCUCCUGGGCAUCGCGACUCUAAUUAUUCUUUCUUUGACCUUACAUAAAAAAGAUACGGUCGAUCAAAGAUAAAACUUUUAUACAAGAAAAAGAAAUCUCUGUCUCUAAGGGACUUUUGCGAAGGACUGUAUCCGUGUAUCCGGUGUACCCUCUCCAGAGGCAUUAGACGCAGUGUAUCGGCGGCCGUGCUCGUGCGCGAGUAUUAGACACCAUGCCCACAGCUCAUUUGCCAACUCCGGCAAAUUUACCAAAUUUAAAUGCAAAAUCGGCCGGUGCUCCGUCGCUUCGUGAGCGCCUGGCUGAGAGCGAGAUAGAAAGAGAAAGAGAUAGAGAUGGCGAAGGAGAAAGAGGGGAAUGUAGAAGAGGUGGAUGGAUCGAGCAAGAGAGAGAAAGAGAUGAAAAUAGAGAGAGAGCUAAAGGGAAUAGAAACGGUAGACCGAGAGGGUAGUGGCCGCUGUUGGAAUAGGAUGGACGGAUAGCGAACGAGCGUGAAUCUGUAAGAGAGAAAGAGAGAUAGAGAGGGAAAGAGAGCGGGA